UGCAACUCAAAUGAAUUGACGGGGAAUCGAAUUCCCGCGGCCGCCAUGGCGGCCGGGAGCAUGCGACGUCGGGCCCAAUUCGCCCUAUAGUGAGUCGUAUUAAGGGUCUAGUACCGGAUAUGUCCUUGAACCGCAUGGUUUGGGGUGGAAAGAUUUAUCGGUGCGAUAUGGGCCCCCGGCCUAUCAGGGUGUUGGCGAGGUAACGGCUCAUCAUCGCGACCAUGGGUAGUCCACGAGAGAGGGUGACCGGCCACACUGGGACUGAGACACGGCCCAGACUCCUACGGGAGGCAGCAGUGGGGAAUAUUGCACAAUGGGCGCAAGCCUGAUGCAACGACGCCGCGUGCGGGAUGACGGCCUUCGGGUUGUAAACCGCUUUUGACAGGGACGAAGCGCAAGUGACUGUACCUGUAGAAUAAGGACCGGCCAACUACGUGCCAGCAGCCGCGGUAAUACGUAGGGUCCGAGCGUUGUCCGGAAUUACUGGGCGUAAAGAGCUUGUAGGCGGUUCGUCGCGUCGUUUGUGAAAACUUGGGGCUCAACCUUAAGCUUGCAGGCGAUACGGGCGGACUAGAGUACUUCAGGGGAGACUGGAAUUCCUGGUGUAGCGGUGAAAUGCGCAGAUAUCAGGAGGAACACCGGUGGCGAAGGCGGGUCUCCGGGAAGUAACUGACGCUGAGAAGCGAAAGCAUGGGUAGCAAACAGGAUUAGAUACCCUGGUAGUCCAUGCCGUAAACGGUGGGUACUAGGUGUGGGGCUCCUUCCACGGACUCCGUGCCGUAGCUAACGCAUUAAGUACCCCGCCUGGGGAGUACGGCCGCAAGGCUAAAACUCAAAUGAAUUGACGGGG
rnacentral:rRNA from 1 species